UGGGGAAUAUUGGACAAUGGGCGGAAGCCUGAUCCAGCAACGCCGCGUGAGGGAUGACGGCCUUCGGGUUGUAAACCUCUUUCAGUACCGACGAAGCGAAAGUGACGGUAGGUACAGAAGAAGGACCGGCCAACUACGUGCCAGCAGCCGCGGUAAUACGUAGGGUCCGAGCGUUGUCCGGAAUUAUUGGGCGUAAAGGGCUCGUAGGCGGUUUGUCGCGUCGGGAGUGAAAACAGCGGGCUUAACUCGUUGCUUGCUUUCGAUACGGGCAGACUAGAGGUAUGCAGGGGAGAAUGGAAUUCCUGGUGUAGCGGUGAAAUGCGCAGAUAUCAGGAGGAACACCGGUGGCGAAGGCGGUUCUCUGGGCAUUACCUGACGCUGAGGAGCGAAAGUGUGGGGAGCGAACAGGAUUAGAUAACCCUGGGU
rnacentral:rRNA from 1 species